GCGAAAGCAAAAUGCCUGUGAGAGUUGUGGAGACUUCUUCUGCACUUUCGCAGCCUUCAGGUGGAACUUCAGGAAAUACUUUGCCUUCAGUCUGUACACUUCUAAGUGUUGGACAGGCAUUUUCUGGAACUCAGAACGUUUCGAGUCAGCAAAAAGAUGAAGCUUGGAGAGUAAAUGUGCGUAUUCAGGGUUGUGACCUUGAUCAUGGAUAUCUAUGUGGUACAAUGGAAGCUCUUAAUGUCCCUAUGGCAGAUACACCAGUAGUUACUUUCUGGGAAGGAGAAAUUGUUGAUACAAAGAAUUAUACUUUCUUCACUGGCAAAUGGGGCGCCACAUCAGAAGAUGACAUAAAGCACUGGACCAAGUUCCCGUCAUUUUCACCCCUUCUGGUAAGCAGUCAAAGCUUCUUUUUUAAAUGCAGAUACUCAGCCUUCUUGAUCUUUUCUGCCCUUUUCAGAGCCAAGUGGACGUCGAUGGUGGUAAAUCACUGGACCUGAAUAACUACCCAUACAUAUUCAUGAGAUGGAAAGAACAAUACUUCGUGAAUGUUGGAACAGACUGUGGGUUGACAAUUGCGGGUUUUUAUUAUGUUUGCUUCUCCAG
rnacentral:misc_RNA from 1 species